AGCAGCCGCGGUAAUUCCAGCUCCAAUAGCGUAUAUUAAAGUUGUUGCAGUUAAAAAGCUCGUAGUUGAAUUUCGGGAGCAGUAGGCUGGUCGUGCCACAGGUAUGUACUGGUCUCACUGAUUCCUCCUUCCUGAAGAACCGUAAUGCCAUUAAUUUGGUGUUGCGGGGAAACAGGACUGUUACUUUGAAAAAAUUAGAGUGUUUAAAGCAGGCUAACGCUUGAAUACAUUAGCAUGGAAUAAUGAAAUAGGACGAUCGAUCCUAUUUUGUUGGUUUCUAGGAUUGACGUAAUGAUUAAUAGGGAUAGUUGGGGGCAUUAGUACUCAAUUGUCAGAGGUGAAAUUCUUGGAUUUAUUGAAGACUAACUACUGCGAAAGCAUUUGCCAAGGAUGUUUUCAUUAAUCAAGAACGAAAGUUAGGGGAUCGAAGACGAUCAGAUACCGUCGUAG
rnacentral:rRNA from 1 species